rnacentral:rRNA from 1 species
CCUACGGGUGGCAGCAGUGAGGAAUAUUGGUCAAUGGACGAGAGUCUGAACCAGCCAAGUAGCGUGAAGGAUGACUGCCCUAUGGGUUGUAAACUUCUUUUAUAUGGGAAUAAAAUGUUCCACGUGUGGGAUUUUGUAUGUACCAUAUGAAUAAGGAUCGGCUAACUCCGUGCCAGCAGCCGCGGUAAUACGGAGGAUCCGAGCGUUAUCCGGAUUUAUUGGGUUUAAAGGGAGCGUAGGUGGAUUGUUAAGUCAGUUGUGAAAGUUUGCGGCUCAACCGUAAAAUUGCACUUGAAACUGGCAGUCUUGAGUACAGUAGAGGUGGGCGGAAUUCGUGGUGUAGCGGUGAAAUGCUUAGAUAUCACGAAGAACUCCGAUUGCGAAGGCAGUUCACUGGACUGCAACUGACACUGAGGCUCGAAAGUGUGGGUAUCAAACAGGAUUAGAUACCCUUGUAGUC